ACUAAAUCCACAUAUAUCAUUUCUAAUUUGAGCACCUCAUUACCAGGUUGUUGGAAGUGUCCGGGAAGGUUUCUGCAUUUAGAAUAAACACUGUUUGUAAAAUAGUUUUCUAGUUAUCCGCGGGAUUGACAGCAGAACCAUAAAACAAGAAACAUGCAGCAACUUAAUAUCAUAGCUCUCAUUGUUCUCAUAGGAACUUCCAUUUCCAUGGUAUCAACAUCAACAACAAGUAUUGACCCGUCGUCGACCGAAACGACAACUAACACCGAUACAGGAUCAACAACCAUUGAAUCGUCGUCGACCGAAACGACAACUAACACCGAUACAGGAUCAACAACCAUUGAAUCGUCGUCGACCGAAACGACGACCUCGGGCAAUGGAAUGGGACAAAACACUGGUACGACGACCACAACCAGUGAUAUGGGAACAGCCGCCGUUAUGUCGACCUCAGACACUCAAACGUCAACAACCACUGGCUCUAUCAUGGCAACCUCAUCCUCAGACGUUAGCCAAUCAUCAACUGUCGGAUCCAACGAUACAACAACACAACCAACCAACACAACAGAGAAAGCUGGAGCUGUGUCGCCUACCCAUCAUCUUCAUCUGACUACUCUCUUACUUAUUUCAUUCAUCUUCGCUAUUUUAGCCUAUUUAAUCUAAACUUAUAACUUACUUGAAAAUAUUACAAACUUUGAAACAUUUUGACAAAACACACAGUGGGGAUACCCGAUUCAAUUUUCCAGAAUUAAAUUCUCUCAAUCCCAACCAAAAGUGAAAAACGGGGAUUUCGGGCUACAAUAAAAAAUCUCAACCAACCAUGACAGCAGAAACAUCUUUUAGCAGGACUGACACAACGGUAACAGGGCUGGAUUCCAUUUCACUUGAUAGUAAUUCUGUCAAUUCGGGAAGUUCCUGUCUGACAUUAGAGCAUCCCCUAUGAUAAUACUUGAAUUAUAAAUGAAAGGAAAUGGGGUUUAACGUCCUACUGUUCUGCUCCAACUUGAACUAUAUUUAAGUCUGUUUCGACAUUUUGGGGAAAAUUCUUGAUAUAAUGUAUUAAUUAAACAUGUUCUUAAGGGUUCUAGAAACAAACGGAAACAAAUGUAAAACAACUUUUUUUCUUUUUUUUGAAAGGCGGGUGGGAGGGGGAGACAUACCACUAUAGACUGGGAAUAGUAUUGCUUUUAUUUUUAUUAAAGCUUUCGUUGGGGAGUUUUAAUGAAUUCUAUAUUGUUUCCGAUACGUUUUUUGAAAGGAGGGUGGGGGUGGGGGAGGGGAGGCAUACCACUAUAGAUCUGAAAUAGCUUGAGUAUGGUUAUUAUAUCUAUUAAGGCUUUCGUUAGGGUGUCUUUUUUUGAAAGGAGGGUGGGAGGGGAGGGGGGAGGCAUACCACUAUAGAUCUGAAAUAGCUUGAGUAUUGAUAUUAUUUUUAUUAAGGCUUUUGUUAGGGUGUUGUCUCCAUUAUUAUGUGUGUAACCACAAAGAUAUUAAUUAUUAACCACUGUCUAAUUUGACAUAUUUGGGAUAAGGCGGGGAUGGGGACGGGAGGGGGGUAUCCUGGAGUACGAGAUGAAGGAGGAAGGAAUUCCUCCUGAUAUAUUUCAUUGAUGCACAUCUUUUUACCAAUAUUUCGUUCCGUUUAAUUUGUCGAUGGUUUACUGCAAUACAUCUAAACGCAUCAGUUAUACUCGGUAUCUGAUUGGUCGAAACAUGACUUGACACCAUUUGAUUGGUCUUAUGUAUAUCCAUCUCUGGUGUGAGUGUAUGUGGCUUAGAGAUGGAGGUGCCUUCUCAACCUCGUGGGUUUGAUCUGGCUACUCCAGUUUCUGUCCACAGGCAAGACCACGAAGAAAACAAAAGAAUAUCCACAAAUCAAACGGAACGUCACUAUCUAUAAAUAGACCAUUGUUUAAGAAUGACGUGUCAUUAUUGAAAUGUUUGUAUUUUUUAGGAUAAAAUGGGAACGUGUUCCCUGAAAUAAACCCUUACCUUAACCCUAACCCUGACAACACCCAUUUAACCUAUGCAGCGGAAAUAUCCGUCCACCAUUUCUCCCGACACGAGCCCAUAAUUGUUCUUAGAAUGCGUGUUCCAUCAAGAAAAUGAGGUUUAUAAACUGAGCAGUCGUUGAGCAGGUGAUUUAUCACCUUUGGUGGAAGUUGACGAACGGAGGAAGUGAAAGAACUAAACACAAAUUAAAACAGUUAGUUUAUGGUUUGUCCGCCAUGUUAGAUACUGUUCGGGAUAUUCUCUAAUUGAAUUUUUAAAAAAAUAAUACCUAAUUUAAUGUUCUUUCUACGGAAGCUAAAAAGGGCCAUGUUAUUUUUACAUUUUUACAAUAAUUUCAACUUAGUAUCUAAUCAAGUUGAAAUUAUAGAUACUUAGUUGAAAUUUUUAGUUAUUAAGUUUUAAAAGUUGACAUUUCAAGGCCCUAUUUAGCUUCCGUAACUUUCACAUUGUGAUCUACUAUAUGCUGUAUGUACUUUCGCCUAUAGUUAGAAAAUAAAGCACGUGUUAUUCUGUCAA